UACAGAGGUCCCAAGCGUUGUUCGGAUUCACUGGGCGUAAAGGGUGCGUAGGCGGUCGGGUAAGUCUGAUGUGAAAUCUCACAGCUUAACUGUGAAACUGCAUUGGAUACUAUCCGGCUAGAGGAAUGGAGGGGAGACUGGAAUACUUGGUGUAGCAGUGAAAUGCGUAGAUAUCAAGUGGAACACCAGUGGCGAAGGCGAGUCUCUGGACAUCUCCUGACGCUGAGGCACGAAAGCCAGGGGAGCAAACGGG
rnacentral:rRNA from 1 species